rnacentral:rRNA from 1 species
AGUGAACGCUGGCGGUAGGCCUAACACAUGCAAGUCGAACGAUUGGCGUACGGGUGAGGAAUACAUCUGAAUCUACUCUGUCGUGGGGGAUAACGUAGGGAAACUUACGCUAAUACCGCAUACGAUUUAAUGAGCCGAUGUAGGUUUGGCUAGUUGGCGGGUUAAAGGCCCACCAAGGCGACGAUCCGUAGCUGGUCUAAGAGGAUGAUCAGCCACACUGGAACUGAGACACGGUCCAGACUCCUACGGGAGGCAGCAGUGGGGAAUAUUGGACAAUGGGCGCAAGCCUGGUCCAGCCAUACCGCGUGGGUGAAGAAGGCCUUCGGGUUGUAAAGCCCUUUUGUUGGGAAAGCGGUACCCAAAGAAUAAGCACCGGCUAACUUCGUGCCAGCCGCCGCGGUAAUUC